rnacentral:rRNA from 1 species
UAGGGAAUCUUCCGCAAUGGGCGAAAGCCUGACGGAGCAACGCCGCGUGAGUGAUGAAGGUCUUCGGAUCGUAAAACUCUGUUAUUAGGGAAGAACAUAUGUGUAAGUAACUGUGCACAUCUUGACGGUACCUAAUCAGAAAGCCACGGCUAACUACGUGCCAGCAGCCGCGGUAAUACGUAGGUGGCAAGCGUUAUCCGGAAUUAUUGGGCGUAAAGCGCGCGUAGGCGGUUUUUUAAGUCUGAUGUGAAAGCCCACGGCUCAACCGUGGAGGGUCAUUGGAAACUGGAAAACUUGAGUGCAGAAGAGGAAAGUGGAAUUCCAUGUGUAGCGGUGAAAUGCGCAGAGAUAUGGAGGAACACCAGUGGCGAAGGCGACUUUCUGGUCUGUAACUGACGCUGAUGUGCGAAAGCGUGGGGAUCAAACAGGAUUAGAUACCCUGGUAGUCCACGCCGUAAACGAUGAGUGCUAAGUGUUGGGAGGUUUCCGCCUCCCAGUGCUGCAGCUAACGCAUUAAGCACUCCGCCUGGGGAGUACGACCGCAAGGUUG